rnacentral:tRNA from 1 species
GCAGGGAUGGCGGAAUGGCAUACGCGGCAGACUUAGAACCUGUUUACUGAGAGUUCGAAUCUCUCUCCCUGUA